rnacentral:rRNA from 1 species
AAAUUGAAGAGUUUGAUCAUGGCUCAGAUUGAACGCUGGCGGCAGGCCUAACACAUGCAAGUCGAGCGGUAACACAGAGAGCUUGCUCUCGGGUGACGAGCGGCGGACGGGUGAGUAAUGUCUGGGAAACUGCCUGAUGGAGGGGGAUAACUACUGGAAACGGUAGCUAAUACCGCAUAAC